rnacentral:rRNA from 1 species
GACGAACGCUGGCGGCGUGCUUAACACAUGCAAGUCGAGCGAUGAAGUUCCUUCGGGAACGGAUUAGCGGCGGACGGGUGAGUAACACGUGGGUAACCUGCCUCAUAGAGGGGAAUAGCCUUCCGAAAGGAAGAUUAAUACCGCAUAAGAUUGUAGUAUCGCAUGAUACAGCAAUUAAAGGAGUAAUCGGCUAUGAGAUGGACCCGCGUCGCAUGAGCUAGUUGGUGAGGUAACGGCCCACCAAGGCGAAGUGGCGUAGCCGACCGGAGAGGGUGAUCGGCCACAUUGGCACUGAGACACGGCCCAGACUCCUACGAGAGGCAGCAGUGGGGAAUAUUGCACAAUGGGGGAAACCCUGAUGCAGCAACGCCGCGUGAGUGAUGACGGUCUUCGGAUUGUAAAGCUCUGUCUUCAGGGGCGAUAAUGACGGUACCUGACGAGGAAGCCACGGCUAACUACGUGCCAGCCGCCGCUGUAACAC